GAUGAACGCUGGCGGCGUGCCUAAUACAUGCAAGUCGAGCGAACAGACGAGGAUCUUGCUCCUCUGACGUUAGCGGCGGACGGGUGAGUAACACGUGGAUAACCUACCUAUAAGACUGGGAUAAUUUCGGAAAACCGGAUCAAAUACCGUAUAAUCUAUUGCACCGUAUGGUUCAUUAGUGAAAGUCGGCUUUGCUGUCACUUCUCGCUGGUUCCGCGCCGCAUUAGCGAGUAGUUAAGGUAACGGCUUUCUAAGGCGAGGAGGCGUAGCCGACCGGAGGGGGGGAUAGGCCACACUGGAGCUGAGACGCCGACAAGGCGCCUACGGGAGGCAGCAGUAGGGAAUCGUCCGCAGUGGGGGAAAGCCUGACAGAGCAGCGCCACGUGAGUGAUGAAGGUCUUCGGAGCGGAAAACUCUGUUAUGGGGGAAGAACAAAUGUGUAAGUAACUAUGCACGUCUUGACGGUAACUAAUCAAGAAGCCACGGCUAACUACGUG
rnacentral:rRNA from 1 species